rnacentral:rRNA from 1 species
UAGGGAAUUUUCCGCAAUGGACGAAAGUCUGAUGGAGCAACGCCGCGUGCAGGAUGAAGGCUUUCGGGUCGUAAACUGCUUUUAUAUGUGACGAUUAUGACGGUAGCAUAUGAAUAAGGAUCGGCUAACUCCGUGCCAGCAGCCGCGGUCAUACGGAGGAUCCAAGCGUUAUCCGGAAUUACUGGGCGUAAAGAGUUGCGUAGGUGGCAUAAUAAGUCGGUAGUGAAAGCGUGGGGCUCAACCUCAUAUACAUUAUCGAAACUAUUAAGCUAGAGGACGAGAGAGGUAGCUAGAAUUCCUAGUGUAGGAGUGAAAUCCGUAGAUAUUAGGAGGAAUACCGAUGGCGUAGGCAGGCUACUGGCUCGUUCCUGACACUAAGGCACGAAAGCGUGGGGAGCGA